AUUGAACGCUGGCGGCAUGCCUAACACAUGCAAGUCGAACGGGGGCAGCAAUGCCCUAGUGGCGGACGGGUGAGGAAUACGUAGGAAUUGGCCCACGAGUGGGGGACAACCUGGGGAAACCCAGGCUAAUACCGCAUACGCUCGCGAGAGGAAAGCGGGGGGACCUUCGGGCCUCGCGCUGGUGGACAAGCCUACGUCCGAUUAGCUUGUUGGUGGGGUAAAAGCCUACCAAGGCGACGAUCGGUAGCUGGUCUGAGAGGAUGAUCAGCCACACUGGGACUGAGACACGGCCCAGACUCCUACGGGAGGCAGCAGUGGGGGAAUAUUGCGCAAUGGGCGAAAGCCUGACGCAGCGACGCCGCGUGAGGGACGACGGCCUUCGGGUUGUAAACCUCUUUCAGCAGGGACGAAGGGAAACUGACUGUACCUGCAAGAAAGCAACCGGCUAACUCUGUGCCAGCAGCCGCGGUAAU
rnacentral:rRNA from 1 species